rnacentral:rRNA from 1 species
UACAGAGGUCCCAAGCGUUGUUCGGAUUCACUGGGCGUAAAGGGUGCGUAGGUGGCCAGGUAAGUUCGGUGUGAAAGCUCGGAGCUUAACUUCGAAACGGCAUUGAAUACUAUCUGGCUGGAGGGUCGGAGGGGAGACUGGAAUUCUCGGUGUAGCAGUGAAAUGCGUAGAGAUGUGGAGGAACACCGAUGGCGAAGGCAGCCCCCUGGGCCGACACUGACGCUCAUGCACGAAAGCGUGGGGAGCAAACAGG